AUUGAACGCUGGCGGCAUGCCUUACACAUGCAAGUCGAACGGUAACAGGUCUUCGGAUGCUGACGAGUGGCGAACGGGUGAGUAAUACAUCGGAACGUGCCCGAUCGUGGGGGAUAACGGAGCGAAAGCUUUGCUAAUACCGCAUACGAUCUACGGAUGAAAGCAGGGGACCGCAAGGCCUUGUGCGGACGGAGCGGCCGAUGGCAGAUUAGGUAGUUGGUGGGAUAAAAGCUUACCAAGCCGACGAUCUGUAGCUGGUCUGAGAGGACGACCAGCCACACUGGGACUGAGACACGGCCCAGACUCCUACGGGAGGCAGCAGUGGGGAAUUUUGGACAAUGGGCGAAAGCCUGAUCCAGCCAUGCCGCGUGCAGGAUGAAGGCCUUCGGGUUGUAAACUGCUUUUGUACGGAACGAAAAGACUCCUUCUAAUAAAGGGGGUCCAUGACGGUACCGUAAGAAUAAGCACCGGCUAACUACGUGCCAGCCGCCGCCGUAAGAC
rnacentral:rRNA from 1 species